rnacentral:rRNA from 1 species
GACGAACGCUGGCGGCGUGCCUAACACAUGCAAGUCGAGCGAGGGGAGUUUCUUCGGAAACAAACCUAGCGGCGGACGGGUGAGUAACACGUGGGCAACCUGCCUUAUAGUGGGGAAUAGCCUCUCGAAAGGGAGAUUAAUACCGCAUAACAUUACACUUUCGCAUGAGAGAGUAAUUAAAGGAGCAAUCCGCUAUAAGAUGGGCCCGCGGCGCAUUAGCUAGUUGGUGAGGUAACGGCUCACGAAGGCGACGAUGCGUAGCCGACCUGAGAGGGUGAUCGGCCACAUUGGGACUGAGACACGGCCCAGACUCCUACGGGAGGCAGCAGUGGGGAAUAUUGCACAAUGGGGGAAACCCUGAUGCAGCAACGCCGCGUGAGUGAUGAAGGUCUUCGGAUCGUAAAGCUCUGUCUUCAGGGACGAUAAUGACGGUACCUGAGGAGGAAGCCACGGCUAACUACGUGCCAGCCGCCGCAGUAA